rnacentral:rRNA from 1 species
AGAUUGAACGCUGGCGGCAGGCCUAACACAUGCAAGUCGAGCGGCAGCACGGGUACUUGUACCUGGUGGCGAGCGGCGGACGGGUGAGUAAUGCCUAGGAAUCUGCCUGGUAGUGGGGGAUAACGCUCGGAAACGGCGCUAAUACCGCAUACGUCCUACGGGAGAAAGCGAGGGGACCUUCGGGCCUUGCGCUAUCAGAUGAGCCUAGGUCGGAUUAGCUAGGUUGGUGAGGUAAUGGCUCACCGAAGGCACGUAUCCGUAAUGGUCUAGAGAGGUAUGGACUCGAGUCACACGUAGGAACUGA